GAUGAACGCUGGCGGCGUGCCUAAUACAUGCAAGUCGAGCGAACAGACGAGGAUCUUGCUCCUCUGACGUUAGCGGCGGACGGGUGAGUAACACGUGGAUAACCUACCUAUAAGACUGGGCUAACUUCGGGAAACCGGAGCUAAUACCGGAUAAUAUAUUGAACCGCAUGGUUCAAUAGUGAAAGACGGUUUUGCUGUCACUUAUAGAUUGAUCCGCGCCGCAUUAGCUAGUUGGUAAGGUAACGGCUUACCAAGGCAACGAUGCGUAGCCGACCUGAGAGGGUGAUCGGCCACACGGGAACUGAGACACGGUCCAGACUCCUACGGGAGGCAGCAGUAGGGAAUCGUCCGCAAUGGGCGAAAGCUUGACGGAGCAACGCCGCGUGAGUGAUGAAGGUCUUCGGAUCGUAAAACUCUGUUAUUAGGGAAGAACAAAUGUGUAAGUAACUAUGCACGUCUUGACGGUACCUAAUCAGAAAGCCACGGCUAACUACGUG
rnacentral:rRNA from 1 species